AGCAGCCGCGGUAAUUCCAGCCCCAAUAGCGUAUAUUAAAGUUGUUGCAGUUAAAAAGCUCGUAGUUGAAUUUUAGGCCUGGCCGGGCGGUCCGUCUUUGGCGAGUACUGUCCUGUGUCGGGUCCACCUUCUGGUGAACCAGUAUGUCCUUUAUUGGGUGUGCCGGGGAGCCAGGACCAUUACCUUGAAAAAAUUAGAGUGUUUAAAGCGGGCAUUUGCUUGAAUAGAUUAGCAUGGAAUAAUAGAAUAGGACGUUGUGGUUCUAUUUUGUUGGUUUCUAGGACCACCGUAAUGAUUAAUAGGGAUAGUUGGGGGCAUUAGUAUUCAAUUGUCAGAGGUGAAAUUCUUGGAUUUAUUGAAGACUAACUAUUGCGAAAGCAUUUGCCAAGGAUGUUUUCAUUAAUCAAGAACGAAAGUUAGGGGAUCGAAGACGAUCAGAUACCGUCGUAGUCUUAACCAUAAACUAUGCCGACUAGGAAUCGGGCGACGUUAUUUUCAUGACUCGCUCGGCGCCUUAUGG
rnacentral:rRNA from 1 species